rnacentral:rRNA from 1 species
AGAGUUUGAUCCUGGCUCAGAACGAACGCUGGCGGCAGGCUUAACACAUGCAAGUCGAGCGCCCCGCAAGGGGAGCGGCAGACGGGUGAGUAGCGCGUGGGAAUCUACCCAUCUCUACGGAAUAACGCAUGGAAACGUGUGCUAAUACCGUAUACGUCCUUCGGGAGAAAGAUUUAUCGGAGAUGGAUGAGCCCGCGUUGGAUUAGCUAGUUGGUGGGGUAAAGGCCUACCAAGGCGACGAUCCAUAGCUGGUCUGAGAGGAUGAUCAGCCACACUGGGACUGAGACACGGCCCAGACUCCUACGGGAGGCAGCAGUGGGGAAUAUUGGACAAUGGGCGCAAGCCUGAUCCAGCCA